GACGAACGCUGGCGGCGUGCUUAACACAUGCAAGUCGAACGGAAAGGCCCUGCUUUUGUGGGGUGCUCGAGUGGCGAACGGGUGAGUAACACGUGAGUAACCUGCCCUUGACUUUGGGAUAACUUCAGGAAACUGGGGCUAAUACCGGAUAGGAGCUCCUGCUGCAUGGUGGGGGUUGGAAAGUUUCGGCGGUUGGGGAUGGACUCGCGGCUUAUCAGCUUGUUGGUGGGGUAGUGGCUUACCAAGGCUUUGACGGGUAGCCGGCCUGGGAGGGUGACCGGCCACAUUGGGACUGAGAGACGGCCCAGACUGCUACGGGAGGCAGAAGUGGGGAAUAUUGCACAAUGGGCGGAAGCCUGAUGCAGCAACGCCGCGUGCGGGAUGACGGCCUUCGGGUUGUAAACCGCUUUCGCCUGUGACGAAGCGUGAGUGACGGUAAUGGGUAAAGAAGCACCGGCUAACUACGUG
rnacentral:rRNA from 1 species